rnacentral:lncRNA from 1 species
ACACCUGCACACGAGGCACAGCCGAGAGAUCGGCCAGAGAACAGAACCCGCGCACAAGGCACAGCCGAGAGAUCGGCCAGAGAACAGGCCAGCACCGAAGAACAAGCAAGAGAGAUCGGCCAGAGAUCAGAGCACGCGCACAAGAGAAGACACAGGCCAGAGAACAGAUCCCGCGCACAAGAGGCACAGGUGAGAGGUCGACUCACAGGUGAGAGGUCGACCCGAGAACAAAGCCUGCGCACACGAGAAAGCAAGGAAAAAUCCCGCACAAGAAGCCCUAGAAAUUUCUCCGCACGCUCUUACCUCUGUUCACCAUUAAAGGAUGCCAGGGGCCUCUUUAUAAAGGAAGAAAACCUUCUCAAAAAAUAGAGUUUCAAUCGGUGUAGAAUUCCUUGAUAUCACGGGAGACGGAAAAGGAAAUAAGAUUUGGAGCCAAAUAUAACA